CAGUCGCCACGGUAAUACGGAGGGUGCAAGCGUUAAUCGGAAUUACUGGGCGUAAAGCGUGCGCAGGCGGUUCGUUAAGACAGAUGUGAAAUCCCCGGGCUUAACCUGGGAACUGCAUUUGUGACUGGCGAGCUAGAGUAUGGCAGAGGGGGGUAGAAUUCCACGUGUAGCAGUGAAAUGCGUAGGGAUGUGGAGGAAUACCGAUGGCGAAGGCAGCCCCCUGGGCCAAUACUGACGCUCACGCACGAAAGCGUGGGGAGCAAACAGGAUUAGAUACCCCUGUAGUCCCUGUCUCUUAUAA
rnacentral:rRNA from 1 species